AUUAGUAACUAUGUUUUACAAUCGUUGUAAAAGUGUGGCUAAUAAGAAGUAGAAGAUUAAUGAGAGAAAAGAAAGUACUUCACAUUCGGAACGUGAAUCAAAUGUAGAUCUCUGCGAAAGCAGAUUGUACUUACUUCCUCAUAUGAAUUACCAAAGAAAUUGGAAAAACCAAAGAUUGUCUUUACAUUCUAAUUUUAAGGAACUUAAUUCCGUCACUAUGAGAGAUGAAUGAAUGUUUUGUUUGAUAAAACAUUGUUCUUUAUUAAUGAAUGAUUAGAUUAUUGUAAUCUAAUUGAUUAUCUUUAUAGUAGAGAAAGAGAUGAUAUGGUAGUAUUAACUGUUUAGAAUAUAAUGAUACUUAAAACCCAAAAGGUUGCAAGGUAGUGACUAAUCCCAACUGAGUUGUGAUACCUCUAAAACAUAAAUUACGAGUUGGUCAUAAAUGGAUGCUUUGGAUCGUUAGAUCCGGAUCCAAUGCCUUCUUGUUAAAAAUUGUAUAGAGGCAAAAUGUUUGAAUCUUUAUUCUUUUGGAAAGGAAGAAAGAAUCACAAAGUUGUUGAGGUAAAUUCACUUAGAUGUUAGUGGCACUUGUCCACAACAUAAUACUACUCAUGUUAUAUGACAUUCACCGAAGAUCGCUCUCGGUUGGACUAUCAUUUAUUUUGAAUAAACACAAGUCUGAAUACUUUGCAAAAGGUUUCAAAGAAUUCAAGAAAUGUAAGUUGAUAAGUAAGAUGUCUAAAGUAUUUACCUCCUUAGAUUUGAUCCAAGGAAAGGUAACACUUUAGAACAGUUUCCUUGAAAGAUAUCAAGGAGAGAAGCAUCACAAGAUAAUGGAUUUCUCCAUUAAGAGAAGAACGAACUCAAAUAAGAUUUAGUUCGUUUGAUGUUAUCAAUUACCCAUAUAUAAGAUAUACACUUCUAAGACAAUAUGAUUGUCAAUUAGAAGAUCUUCCAAAAUUUUCAUGACUCCAUAGGAUGUAGUUGGAAAGAAAGACAAAUCUUAAUCAUGUUAAGAUUUGGGAUUGUGUGCUAAUAAGCAAUAUUUGUUUAAAGAAUUAUCUUGUGGGUAUCCUUAAAUUAACAUUUGGAUAUCACUUCUAUAAACCAACUAACAAAUGUUGUUUGUUGGGUAGUUCAUUGUAAUCCUACACUAGGAUUUGCCUAAGAUAGGGCAAAUGAAUGAGGGAUAGAACUCAAAGAAUGGGUUCUUUGAGAGACAAGAUAGUGAUCAACAAAUAUAACAACCUAGUUCCUAUACCACAAGCUCCAAGGUUGUCGAGAAGGAUUUAUAAACUGUCUCAGUUGAAUGGUUUGAACUUUAUGAUUAUGUCAUAGAGUUACACCUCUUAAUUCGAAAGAAAUAAGAAUGAAAAUCCUUAUGACUGCAUUGAGUGUAUAUACGACAUAUACUCAAGGAAAUGGUAAAGUACCAUUUGACCCGAAAUAAUGAAACCUUUAUAGCUAAUUGGUAGCUUAAAGUGACUACAAUCAAAGAGAUUGGUUGACUUUGAAGAAACCAUCUUUAACGUAGUCUUGGUUUCAAUUAAUUCGAAGAUUGCUAGCUA
rnacentral:lncRNA from 1 species